CACUCACAAAGAGCCGAGGGGAGAGAGGGUGCGCAGACGGCCAGCGGGGCCGCGCCAGGGACAUACUGGAGACAGGAAGUGGCUGAGAGGGGGAGAGAGUUGGAGAGAGACGGCCGCGGAGGACACGGGGACGGGAAAGUCUGAGAGACGGGGAGAGCCUGACCCGGCGGGACACAGGCAGAAAGAAACACGCGAGCCAGACAGACGCAGAAGAAACGUGCCUGGUACUGGAUAGGAACUUCAUGGAAUGGAGCUAAUGGGCCGUAGGGCAGGUUUGAGUCGUGCCACCCUGGAGCAGAAGGUGGAGGGUAGGGAUAAGGGGGUGGAGCACCUGAUUCCAAUCUUGCCGCACGGAAGAAGAGUCUGUGAAGAAGGUCUUUGGCUGGGCUCUGGGAUGGAUGCCAUGGGAGUACCUUUACUUAAGCUCUAAAGUUACCAAUGGAGAGACUGGGACUCAAAGAGGAACUUGAUUGGACCCCAGAGAGGUGAGGGGUAAGGGCUCGAACCUCACACAUGCUGGUUUUGCUGCUGCCUGGCAGGCCCAUGGGAAGAACUUUAGAGGUUCCAAGGAAUUGGAAAAGGGUCACAAGAUGGGUGGCCAAACUCCCAGCUCAGGCUUGAUUCCUACUCUCAAUGUGGGGAUAGUGGAGAAGGGGGCUGCAGGAAGGGCUGAGAAAAGCUGAGAAUGAGAAGUUAUACAGGAGGUAGCUUGGUGGGAGUGAAACAAAAAUGAGUGGUUCAUGGGCCAGCCAGGCAUCCUGAUUUACAGCUCACAGCAGCAGGAGC
rnacentral:lncRNA from 1 species